UCUUGUAAUUCGUGUUUUCUUUUAAAUAAAACAAAAUCAUGCCAUGCUUUUAUUAUUACUUCGUUGGCUGAUCCAAAAAGUCUAUUCGUAAAAUAGCAGCACAAAUACAUUUUAACGAAAGUCUAGUGUGACGUUUUAUGGAAAAACUGAGAGGAUGAAAGGUUCAGGAAAAUAGGGAACACUUAAAUAGCCGAAGUUCGAAAUGCCGACCCAUCAAAAUACCUACAAAAUUUAAAUAUACAGAUAAAUCGAAAUACCAACAAAUCAAAAUACAGACAACUCGAAUUGCCGACAUAUCAAAAUAUGUGUAAUACACGAUAAAAUAUUUUUGAAAAUUAUUUGCAAAAUCAAGCUAUCAAGCCGUAGAUAGGUUUUUUGAGGGUUAAUAUCUUCACAAAAGGCCGUAAACUAACUUUUAUUUCAAACUAUAUAUGGGAAUUGGAUCCGCUACAGCCGUGACAAAUUACUCAAAUAGCGGACGCACCCGAAUUGUACUACUUCAUCUAUUCAUAAUUCCUAAACCUCCAUAACUGAUUGGCGACAACCAACACAGUAAAACAUUAAGAUUUAACUUCUGCAAGGUUUUCGUAAUUCCCAUGUGGGCUCCGCUUGUACCGUUGUGCAGCUCAUUGAGGACUUCGGAAAAUCCUUACUUUCGGAACAAUCAUAAGAGCUUUCCCAUACUCGAUUCAAGCAACCAGACAACAACUUUGAACUAUUCCACUGUGCCCAAUAUGGCUUUGCGACUGUACUUUCUGCUGUUAUUUUUUCUUUCGUGGGACGUUUGUAUAGCUGCACUCCAUGCACUACACGUUUCAACAAGCUCCUACAAAGGCCUAUUGCAACUUGAUGUCGAAGAUCUGCUUCCUGGGUCUUUUCCAUAUCGUCUUUCUACCACAUCCAUCAACGUCUUAUAGUUUUCUCGAUUCUCAAUUGGAAAUGGUUUGUAAGACUUCUACUUUGGAUCCUUUUAUUGCAACGAAUAAUUAGGCGACUUUAUCUUCAGAGUUCUAACUAUUUGCAGCUGCUGUUUUCUUUAACUGUGCCUUAAAAACAUGGAACGGGAAUGUCCCGUCAUGAUGGAGUUUUAACUUUUGCAGAGGUUGUUAACAUUAUUGGCCAAUUGUAGCUCGCGUCAAUUUUUCAACUCAUCUACGUUAGGCUUAUUUUAAUCCUACUUCUCCGAAAUCUGUGAAAACACUUCCGUUAUUUGUGAAGUCACCCGCGUCUAUAUACGAGCCUCCCACUUUUUCAACUGUGAGGACACCUGUGUUUAUAUAUUGAUAAUAACAAUAUAACCUUAUUCUUGAUGAAAAUCUAUAACACCUUUUUGAAAUCUAUAAUAAAAUAAGGUUUGUAUUAAUAUCUAAAUGUGCAGUUUAUAAAGGUUUGAUGAGUUAUGUAUUAAUAUAUAUUUAAUUUGCGUUGGUCAUUAAAAGUUUUGAUAACAUCUCAAAACCAAGCGGUCGCACAUAUGCACAUAUGCUUUUUACAAGGAGGAAGCAUCGAAAGCCUGAACUCUAUGUCAGUGUGAAACUUUAAUCCGAACUAAACAUCCUACUGUAAUGUACUGAUACCAGCGUUUUCUGAUUUUUGCGGCUAUUUCGCACACCGGAUUUUACUUAUUCUUGAAUUCAAUCAUUUAGUCUACUAAAUUUUCAACUGUUUCAAAUGCAUUCUUUAGGUAUCGUGUUGCUCGUAUUGCGGACAGUGGAACGACGUAUGCUCUACAUUCUCAAUUGUAUAGCCUUCGCAAAUGCAAAUGCCCCGUAUGUCAUCAGUCUCGUGUUUAAAUCAUUUCAAAUAUGCUUUUAAAGAGCCAUGUCUUGUGAUGAUUUGGAGCGGCUAUAUCUUUAUGAUAGGGUUGGCUUUAGCAUUACUUCGGGUUUCCGACAGAUUUACUGAGAUCAAGUUAUCAGCUGAUCAAGCGAUUGAAUGAUUGGUGUUAUUAUACGUCGAUCAGGUUAUCGAUGAUUUUUGUUGCUCCGUCCAUUUACUAGUUUCUGACGUCUUCGCAGCAACAUAAACAGCAAUCCCUUAACGCCGUUGAUGAGCAAAGAUUCCUCGGGACAAGACUUCAGAAAUUUCUCUUAAAGUGGGUGUUAAGUGUGUUAAAAGAAAUUAGAAGAGCGAGACGGUAAUACGAGCAGCUGAGAGUGGGCCAUUGUAUAAAUCUACAAAUAACCAAUUCUAAGAUCUUCACUAAUCCACAUGCAACAAUGGCUCACUAGUUACGGAUUGCUUCCAAAAUUCUACUACUAAAGUCACACUUGGUACGGGCUGUUAAACAAAUAUUCUACUACUAAAACAUCCAAAUGACUCAAAACUCCUACAGUGUGUUGCAUUCUUUUGUUUCAAAAUUUAUAACUUUAAGAAGGUAUAUAACAUAUUCAAAUAGUUUUCGAUUAUUAAG